rnacentral:rRNA from 1 species
GACGAACGCUGGCGGCGUGGAUUAGGCAUGCAAGUCGAACGGUAUCAUCCUUUCGGGGGUGAGAGAGUGGCGAACUGGUGAGUAACACGUAGGUUAUCUACCCUCAAGACGGGGACAACCCAGGGAAACUUGGGCUAAUACCGGAUGUGAGCAACUUUUAGUUGUUUGAAAGGUGGCGUAAGCUGUCGCUUGGGGAUGAGCCUGCGUCCUAUUAGUUAGUUGGUGAGGUAACGGCUCACCUAGGCAAUGAUAGGUAGGCGGCCUUAACGGGUGGUCGCCCACACUGGGAUUGAGAUACGGCCCAGACUCCUACGGGAGGCAGCAGUCGAGAAUAGUCUACAAUGGUCGGAAGACUGAUAGUGCGACGCCGCGUGAACGAUGAAUCCCUUCGGGGUGUAAAGUUCUUUUAUAUGUGAGCAGUGCUUUCUUAUAUUAACAGUAUGGGGGAGAGAGAUAUUAGCAUAUGAAUAAGCAACGGCUAACUCCGUGCCAGCAGCCGCGGUAAAA